UACGUAGGAGGCGAGCGUUGUCCGGAGUUACUGGGCGUAAAGCGUGCGCAGGCGGUUGGGCAAGACAGAUGUGAAAUCCCCGGGCUCAACCUGGGAACUGCAUUUGUGACUGCACGGCUGGAGUGCGGCAGAGGGGGAUGGAAUUCCGCGUGUAGCAGUGAAAUGCGUAGAUAUGCGGAGGAACACCGAUGGCGAAGGCAAUCCCCUGGGCCUGCACUGACGCUCAUGCACGAAAGCGUGGGGAGCAAACAGG
rnacentral:rRNA from 1 species